GCCUCCCCACAGCCCCCUAACUUCUUUAAGACCUUGCAUAGAAGUGCACAAAUGAGCACUUGAACCCAAAUCAAGGACCCAACUAGAAGAAGAGAAAAUUGUUAGAUUAGUUUCAAUAACGAGUAAUUCAGAUGUACCUUCAAAAGGUCCAUCCUUCUUCCUAUUCUUGACAGUCGUUAGGUAGGCCGGACAGUUCCUUCUCCAG
rnacentral:lncRNA from 1 species